AUUAUUUCUCGGUCUUUUGGCUAAGAUCAGGUGUAGUAUCUGUUCUUACCAGUUUUAAUAUCUUAUAUGUCCUCUAUCCAAGGACAUAUUAAACAGAUUUUUGGAGCAGGAAAAUGGAAUAGGAUUUUGCUCUGCUUACUCCACACAUCGAUCUGGUAUUGUAGUACUUCCAGGAGUGGUGCACCCCUU
rnacentral:snRNA from 1 species